rnacentral:misc_RNA from 1 species
CUCUGGGCAAAAAAUGCACCAGCCCUCUUGUCACCAGUGGAGGCAAUAAGGCGAGGAGUUAUCUCAUUUGUUAAUUGGUAUAUUGUUUAAUUGUAUGAUAAUACGGUUUCAAUUCGUUCAAUUUGUCUGUAUUUUUUAUAUGUGUGUUAUCUUUUUUUAAUCAAAAGGUGGCGCAUGUCAUGUGUUCCCAUUUCAACUUGAUCGAGGUUUGACGAGUGUUUUUUGAGUUAUCUCUAAUUAUGCGUAUUUACUUGACUAUUUUUAA